rnacentral:misc_RNA from 1 species
GAUGAAGAACGUAGCGAAAUGCGAUAAGUAGUGUGAAUUCCAGAAUUCAGUGAAUCAUCGAAUCUUUGAACGCACAUUGCGCCCCUCGGUAUUCCGUGGGGCAUGCCUGUUCGAGCGUCAUUUAACCCCUCAAGCCUAGCUUGGUAUUGGGUGCUUGUCCCGCCUCUCGCGCGGCGACUCACCUCAAAGUCAUUGGCAGCCCGCAUCUCGCCGGCCGUGAGCGCAGCACAGACGCGCUCUUGGCAACGACGGAUCGGCUCUCCAAAAGCUUAUUUCAACCACUGACCUCGGAUCAGGUAGGGAUACCCGCUGAACUUAAGCAUAUCAAUAAGCGGAGGA